CACGUAGGGGGCGAGCGUUGUCCGGAUUUAUUGGGCGUAAAGAGCUCGUAGGCGGCUCGGUAAGUCAGGUGUGAAACCUCCAGGCUCAACCUGGAGACGCCACCUGAUACUGCCGUGGCUAGAGUCCGGUAGAGGAGCGUAGAAUUCCUGGUGUAGCGGUGAAAUGCGCAGAAUAUCAGGAGGAAUACCAGCGGCGAAGGCGGCGCUCUGGGCCGGUACUGACGCUGAGGAGCGAAAGCGUGGGGAGCAACAGG
rnacentral:rRNA from 1 species